rnacentral:rRNA from 1 species
UGGGGAAUAUUGGGCAAUGGGCGCAAGCCUGACCCAGCAACGCCGCGUGAAGGAAGAAGGCUUUCGGGUUGUAAACUUCUUUUAAGGGGAAGGAGCAGAAGACGGUACCCCUUGCAAUAAGCCACGGCUAACUACGUGCCAGCAGCCGCGGUAAUACGUAGGUGGCAAGCGUUGUCCGGAUUUACUGGGUGUAAAGGGCGUGCAGCCGGAGAGGCAAGUCAGAUGUGAAAUCCGCGGGCUCAACCCGCGAACUGCAUUUGAAACUGCUUCCCUUGAGUAUCGGAGAGGUAACCGGAAUUCCUAGUGUAGCGGUGAAAUGCGUAGAUAUUAGGAAGAACACCAGUGGCGAAGGCGGGUUACUGGACGACAACUGACGGUGAGGCGCGAAAGCGUGGGGAGCAAACAGGAUUAGAUACC